UAUUUUGAUGACGUGACGUUUACGAAAGUGGCUGAACGGAGAGCUAGGUACAACAAGUGGACGGUAAUGGCGGAUGGUUGGUGUUUCGCGUCUCGUAGUACUAUUUAUAACCUAAAAUAUAGUACAAGUUUUCGGCGAUAUGUGCGCUAACGUUUCUUGGUUGUGUGGAUUGGUGCCGUUAAAUUUCACAAUUGUGCCAAUGACGUACGAACACUACAUCGACUGAAAGUAUACUGCUCUAAAUGAUAAUCAGUGAAAUGAUAUUGCACACAAAAUUUUGACAUUCACACUGCCGAGAUUUCGUAUUCGUUGCAAGUAGAGAAUGGUGCAUGCUGAACAUCGUCAAGUAAGCUGAAAGUGGACACAAGUGUGUAACUAACAAUGCAUGCAGUGUACAUAGUGUAGUACGGACAUCAAAAUAAAUUCCCUGAGGGCUAUGCACACUUGGUCUUGAAAAUGACAGAAAGACGGAAGAAAAAAUCACAUAAUGGAUUCCUUCGGAAAGUGUCCUCCUUGUUUAAUCUUGAUACGGCUCACGUCACAUCACCAGAAAUGAAGCAGGUAAUUUUUUAAAUAUACUUUAUUACAAGAUCAUUUUAAAUUUUAUUUCAACUAGGUUCUGUCAGUUUCAAUUUACAAUAAUGUCAAUAUUUUAAAACAUG